GUGCUCACUUUGGCAGCACAUAUACUAAAAUUGGAACGAUACAGAGAAGAUUAGCAUAGCAUGGCCCCUGUGCAAGGAUGACACGCAAAUUCGUGAAGCUUCCACGUUUUUA
ensembl:snRNA U6 U6 spliceosomal RNA